rnacentral:lncRNA from 1 species
GCGCACACGCCCGCCCGCUCGCGCUGCCUCUGCGCCUCCAUCCCGGCUCGCUCAUUAUCUCGCCCUCUCGCUUCCCCUGCGGUCUCUCGCUCUGCGCGCACACACCACACACACGCACACGCACACACACGCGCGCACACACGCAGCCGGCACAGGCGGCGGCGGCGGCUGCCCAAGUCAGGACGAACCUAUCUAGGUACCGUCUUGAGAAGGCGGCAGCGGCGGCGGCGGCGGCGGCGGCGGCAGCCCGAGCAUCCCUCCUCUCCCGGAGAGGGAGCACCGCCGAGAGUUUCCGUUCCCUUUGCCAUUCCCUUCCCCCUCCUUUUCUUUUAUUUUCGAGAGAAUUUCUUCUUGGCUUAUUGGUUUAAUUUGAUUUUUAAAAUUUUGGGUUGCUUUUGUGUAUGUGUGCUUUUUUUUUCUUUCCUCAUUUUAUUUGCAUCCAGAGCAUGGCGGGCUGCGGGCUGUCGGAAGACACCCUCUUCUCUUCCUUCUUUUACAACUACGGCUCCUCCUGGGAAACCCCUUCCAACCAGAGAUGAAGAAUACAUGUGCAUAACGGGCCUUACUGAUCUCCAGUUUGCAUUUUCAGCAUUUGAGCAUGGGCACAUGUUUGAGAAACCUGCUCCUAACUGUUCCUAAGAAGAAAAAGAAUACAACAAAGGCGAUACUUUAAAUCUCAUCUUGGACUCGGGCAGAGCUGCUAUAGGAAGGCCUGGGCCAAAUUUGCAAGAGUGAGACUUGUUCAUGAUUUUACCCUGAUUGCUGCCAAAAUGCUUACAUAUCCUGCGUUUCCUAAAAAUGGCAAUGUUCUUCAGAUAUAAUUUGUUUACUCUACCUCAAUUAAAAAUCCUUUUCCUAGUG